rnacentral:rRNA from 1 species
UACGUAGGGGGCUAGCGUUGUCCGGAUUUAUUGGGCGUAAAGAGCGUGUAGGCGGCCAGGUAGGUCUGCUGUGAAAACUCGAGGCUCAACCUCGAGACGUCGGCGGAAACCAUCUGGCUAGAGUCCGGAAGAGGAGAGUGGAAUUCCUGGUGUAGCGGUGAAAUGCGCAGAUAUCAGGAGGAACACCGGUGGCGAAGGCGGGGUCUCUGGGGCCGAAAACUGACGCUGAGGAGCGAAAAGCGUGGGGAGCAAAACAGGA